rnacentral:rRNA from 1 species
GGGUUGUGAGGUUAAGCGACUAAGCGUACACGGUGGAUGCCCUGGCAGUCAGAGGCGAUGAAGGACGUGCUAAUCUGCGAUAAGCGUCGGUAAGGUGAUAUGAACCGUUAUAACCGGCGAUUUCCGAAUGGGGAAACCCAGUGUGUUUCGACACACUAUCAUUAACUGAAUCCAUAGGUUAAUGAGGCGAACCGGGGGAACUGAAACAUCUAAGUACCCCGAGGAAAAGAAAUCAACCGAGAUUCCCCCAGUAGCGGCGAGCGAACGGGGAGCAGCCCAGAGCCUGAAUCAGUGUGUGUGUUAGUGGAAGCGUCUGGAAAGGCGCGCGAUACAGGGUGACAGCCCCGUACACAAAAAUGCACAUGCUGUGAGCUCGAUGAGUAGGGCGGGACACGUGGUAUCCUGUCUGAAUAUGGGGGGACCAUCCUCCAAGGCUAAAUACUCCUGACUGACCGAUAGUGAACCAGUACCGUGAGGGAAAGGCGAAAAGAACCCCGGCGAGGGGAGUGAAAAAGAACCUGAAACCGUGUACGUACAAGCAGUGGGAGCACGCUUAGGCGUGUGACUGCGUACCUUUUGUAUAAUGGGUCAGCGACUUAUAUUCUGUAGCAAGGUUAACCGAAUAGGGGAGCCGAAGGGAAACCGAGUCUUAACUGGGCGUUAAGUUGCAGGGUAUAGACCCGAAACCCGGUGAUCUAGCCAUGGGCAGGUUGAAGGUUGGGUAACACUAACUGGAGGACCGAACCGACUAAUGUUGAAAAAUUAGCGGAUGACUUGUGGCUGGGGGUGAAAGGCCAAUCAAACCGGGAGAUAGCUGGUUCUCCCCGAAAGCUAUUUAGGUAGCGCCUCGUGAAUUCAUCUCCGGGGGUAGAGCACUGUUUCGGCAAGGGGGUCAUCCCGACUUACCAACCCGAUGCAAACUGCGAAUACCGGAGAAUGUUAUCACGGGAGACACACGGCGGGUGCUAACGUCCGUCGUGAAGAGGGAAACAACCCAGACCGCCAGCUAAGGUCCCAAAGUCAUGGUUAAGUGGGAAACGAUGUGGGAAGGCCCAGACAGCCAGGAUGUUGGCUUAGAAGCAGCCAUCAUUUAAAGAAAGCGUAAUAGCUCACUGGUCGAGUCGGCCUGCGCGGAAGAUGUAACGGGGCUAAACCAUGCACCGAAGCUGCGGCAGCGACGCUUAUGCGUUGUUGGGUAGGGGAGCGUUCUGUAAGCCUGUGAAGGUGUACUGUGAGGUAUGCUGGAGGUAUCAGAAGUGCGAAUGCUGACAUAAGUAACGAUAAAGCGGGUGAAAAGCCCGCUCGCCGGAAGACCAAGGGUUCCUGUCCAACGUUAAUCGGGGCAGGGUGAGUCGACCCCUAAGGCGAGGCCGAAAGGCGUAGUCGAUGGGAAACAGGUUAAUAUUCCUGUACUUGGUGUUACUGCGAAGGGGGGACGGAGAAGGCUAUGUUGGCCGGGCGACGGUUGUCCCGGUUUAAGCGUGUAGGCUGGUUUUCCAGGCAAAUCCGGAAAAUCAAGGCUGAGGCGUGAUGACGAGGCACUACGGUGCUGAAGCAACAAAUGCCCUGCUUCCAGGAAAAGCCUCUAAGCAUCAGGUAACAUCAAAUCGUACCCCAAACCGACACAGGUGGUCAGGUAGAGAAUACCAAGGCGCUUGAGAGAACUCGGGUGAAGGAACUAGGCAAAAUGGUGCCGUAACUUCGGGAGAAGGCACGCUGAUAUGUAGGUGAAGCGACUUGCUCGUGGAGCUGAAAUCAGUCGAAGAUACCAGCUGGCUGCAACUGUUUAUUAAAAACACAGCACUGUGCAAACACGAAAGUGGACGUAUACGGUGUGACGCCUGCCCGGUGCCGGAAGGUUAAUUGAUGGGGUUAGCGCAAGCGAAGCUCUUGAUCGAAGCCCCGGUAAACGGCGGCCGUAACUAUAACGGUCCUAAGGUAGCGAAAUUCCUUGUCGGGUAAGUUCCGACCUGCACGAAUGGCGUAAUGAUGGCCAGGCUGUCUCCACCCGAGACUCAGUGAAAUUGAACUCGCUGUGAAGAUGCAGUGUACCCGCGGCAAGACGGAAAGACCCCGUGAACCUUUACUAUAGCUUGACACUGAACAUUGAGCCUUGAUGUGUAGGAUAGGUGGGAGGCUUUGAAGUGUGGACGCCAGUCUGCAUGGAGCCGACCUUGAAAUACCACCCUUUAAUGUUUGAUGUUCUAACGUGGACCCGUGAUCCGGGUUGCGGACAGUGUCUGGUGGGUAGUUUGACUGGGGCGGUCUCCUCCUAAAGAGUAACGGAGGAGCACGAAGGUUGGCUAAUCCUGGUCGGACAUCAGGAGGUUAGUGCAAUGGCAUAAGCCAGCUUGACUGCGAGCGUGACGGCGCGAGCAGGUGCGAAAGCAGGUCAUAGUGAUCCGGUGGUUCUGAAUGGAAGGGCCAUCGCUCAACGGAUAAAAGGUACUCCGGGGAUAACAGGCUGAUACCGCCCAAGAGUUCAUAUCGACGGCGGUGUUUGGCACCUCGAUGUCGGCUCAUCACAUCCUGGGGCUGAAGUAGGUCCCAAGGGUAUGGCUGUUCGCCAUUUAAAGUGGUACGCGAGCUGGGUUUAGAACGUCGUGAGACAGUUCGGUCCCUAUCUGCCGUGGGCGCUGGAGAACUGAGGGGGGCUGCUCCUAGUACGAGAGGACCGGAGUGGACGCAUCACUGGUGUUCGGGUUGUCAUGCCAAUGGCACUGCCCGGUAGCUAAAUGCGGAAGAGAUAAGUGCUGAAAGCAUCUAAGCACGAAACUUGCCCCGAGAUGAGUUCUCCCUGACCCUUUAAGGGUCCUGAAGGAACGUUGAAGACGACGACGUUGAUAGGCCGGGUGUGUAAGCGCAGCGAUGCGUUGAGCUAACCGGUACUAAUGAACCGUGAGGCUUAACCUUACAACGCCGAAG